rnacentral:misc_RNA from 1 species
AGUGAACCAUUUUCAACAUACUCAUACACUAAGAAGCAAUUUGCUUCUUUAGGGUCUAUGCAAAAACCUUCUAGCUUCACCAAAUUCCCAUGGUUCACCUUUUGCAGAAUUUUGAGUUCUUCACGAGCAUUCCACUUCAUUUUCUUGAUUGCAAACACUUCACCAUCAAUUGUUCCUUUAUACACAGAUCCUUGUAUCAAACACCCUUCAUCAAAUCCAUCUGUUGCUUCCCAAAUUUGUUCCAUUUUAUACAUUUUAUACUUAUCCAAACACUCAGAUACAUCAGCCAACAAAUUCACUUCAACAUCUUUAUCAACAAAAGACCCCUUUUUUGAUCCAAGAUACAAACUUUUUUGUCUUUCAACAUCACCA